AGAGUUUGAUCCUGGCUCACGAUGAACGCUAGCGGCAGGCCUAAUACAUGCAAGUCGGACGGGAUUUGGGAGCUUGCUCCCGAUGAGAGUGGCGCACGGGUGCGUAACACGUAUGUAACCUACCUUAGUCAGGGGGAUAGCCUCUCGAAAGAGAGAUUAAGACCGCAUAACAUAUUGGAGUGGCAUCGCUUUGAUAUCAAAUAUUUAUAGGACUAAGAUGGGCAUGCGCAACAUUAGCUAGUUGGUGUGGUAACGGCAUACCAAGGCUACGAUGUUUAGGGGAUCUGAGAGGAUGACCCCCCACACUGGUACUGAGACACGGACCAGACUCCUACGGGAGGCAGCAGUAAGGAAUAUUGGUCAAUGGACGGAAGUCUGAACCAGCCAUGCCGCGGGCAGGAAGACGGCCCUACGGGUUGUAAACUGCUUUUGUACCGGAAUAAACCUGUUUAUGUAUAAGCAGCUGAAUGUACGGUAAGAAUAAGGAUCGGCUAACUCCGUGCCAGCAGCCGCGGUAAUACGGAGGAUCCAAGCGUUAUCCGGAUUUAUUGGGUUUAAAGGGUGCGUAGGCGGCCUGUUAAGUCAGGGGUGAAAGACGGUAGCUCAACUAUCGCAGUGCCCUUGAUACUGAUGGGCUUGAAUGUACUUGAGGUAGGCGGAAUGUGACAAGUAGCGGUGAAUUGCAUAGAUAUGUCACAGAACACCAAUUGCGAAGGCAGCUUACUAAAGUAAUAUUGACGCUGAGGCACGAAAGCGUGGGGAUCAAACAGGAUUAGAUACCCUGGUAGUCCACGCCCUAAACGAUGAACACUCGAUGUUUGGCGAUAUACGGUCAGCGUCUUAGUGUAAG
rnacentral:rRNA from 1 species